CCUUGCAUUUUAAUGCUAGACUCCCAGUCUGAGCAAGUGAGUGACAGCAUGGAUGUGUUCCAAAACAUUCGAAGUUACUUAACAGAAAUGUGGAAAAACACAAGAAAAAAGCCCCGUAUAUUUUCUGCAGAUUCUAUGCCAGCGCUGAAAGUGUGGGUACCCGGACAGCAAGGAAACACCUCUGAAUGCGGCAUAUUUGUGUUACUCUAUGCAGAGAACUUUCUGAAGGAUCCUUCCAAAGAACUAAUCGAUGAGCUUGACUGUACAUCCUGGUUUACACUGGCCGAUGCAUUUUCAAGGCGUGCACAGAUCAGGGGCAAAAUGCGAAGUAGUU